rnacentral:precursor_RNA from 10 species
AAGUCUUGUAUUUGAGGCCUUAAAGUACUCUAGCAGCACAUCAUGGUUUGCAUGCUCUAAUAAAGAUGCGAAUCAUUAUUUGCUGCUUUAGAAAUUUAAGGAAGAGAAACAGUUGAAGAU